AUGCGGAGUAGACUAACAAGGAUUCCCCUAGUAACUGCGAGUGAACAGGGAUGAGCCCAGCACCGAAGCCUGUGGCCGUUUGGUUACUAGGCAAUGUGGUGUUUAGGUUGUUUCUCGGAACCACUGCUCCACCCUGAGUCCAGGAAUGAGUACGGUAGUACGGACAUGGCCCAUAGAGGGUGAAAGGCCCGUGGGGGUGGAGAUCUCAGCAGGCCAGUGGUUUCGUGAUUUGACCUUGGAGUCGGGUUGUUUGUGAAUGCAGCCCAAAGUGGGUGGUAAACUCCAUCCAAGGCUCAAUACUAACACGAGUCCGAUAGCGAACAAGUACCGUGAGGGAAAGUUGAAAAGUACUUUGAAGAGAGAGUAAACAGUACGUGAACCCGCUCAGAGGUAAACGGGUGGAGUUGAACUGCAAGCCCAAGAGAUUCAGCUGGUGAGCGUGGUAUGGGCUUGGUCAUUCCGGUCGGCUUUGAGAGUCUGCGUAACUGCAGGUCCCUUCCUUUGGUUGGGAUGUGCGAUACACUUAUCAAGUGUUGUGCGCUCUUAGAGUUCGCGGGCCAGUUUGCCAGUGCACUUCUCUUGGGUCUUCACCACGACCGGCGCUGCUGUCUGUCUGCUGUGGUCGAACCGGUGGGGUAUUGCCCUUGUGGUUUUACUCCAUCGGGAUGGCAGGUAGCUCGUUAGCUUGUGGUUCGGCUUCGGCUGGGUCACGCUAGGCUGGCGGGUGUAAUAGCUGAUCGCAGUGGAACUGUGCGGUGCGCCGGAGACGGCGGCUACUGGUGUGUGCACAUGUGCUAGUUUUGCUGGCAGGGCUGGAUCUGAUUGUCAUGUUGCCUGUUCAAGCAGGCCUGAUGGUGGUUCGGUUCUGUGCAGUGAGCAGUUGCGUGUGUGUCACUGAUCUGGUGCCAAUAGUCUGUGGUGUAGUGGUAGGCUCUCCAUCCGACCCGUCUUGAAACACGGACCAAGGAGUUUAACAUGUGCGCGAGUCAUUGAGUUUCAGGAUAGCAAGGGUUCAGAGUAAAAGUUUUUUCCGGUAAAUCGAAUGAUUGGAGGUAUCGGGGAGGAAAUCUCCUCAACUUAUUCCAAAACUUUAAAUGGGUGAGAAGCUCGACUCGCGUAACCGGAGCCGGGCGUUGAAUUGAGUGCCAAGUGGGCCAUUUUUGGUACGCGGAACCGCCGGUGUGGGCCGAAACAAAGGUUAAGUUAGGGUGCGCAACUUGACGCCAGAGGGACAUCACAAAAGGUCUUCAGGGUUUAGACAGCAGGACGGUGUCCUCAGAAGUGGGAAUAGGGGCGAGGAGUUGAAGAACUCAUCUGAGAUGCCUC
rnacentral:rRNA from 1 species